UACCAGCUCCACGAGUGGGAACUACAAUUAUUGGGCCUAAAGCGUCCGUAGCCUGUUUAAUAAAUUUCUUGUGAAAUUGUUUGGCUUAACCAAACAGCGUGCAGGAAAGACUGUUAAACUUGGGACUGGGAGGGGUUAGAAGUAUCUUUGGGGUAGCGGUAAAAUAAAUCCUCAGAUUUAAUUUAAAAUCUGAAAAGAUUUUUACAGUGUUAUAAUCCUAAAGAGACUACCUAUGGCGAAGGCAUCUAACCAG
rnacentral:rRNA from 1 species